CCUACGGGUGGCAGCAGUGAGGAAUAUUGGUCAAUGGGCGGAAGCCUGAACCAGCCAUGUAGCGUGCAGGAUGACGGCCCUACGGGUUGUAAACUUCUUUUAUACGGGAAUAACGCGCCUUACGUGUAGGUCUUUGCAUGUACCGUAUGAAUAAGGACCGGCUAAUUCCGUGCCAGCAGCCGCGGUAAUACGGAAGGUCCGGGCGUUAUCCGGAUUUAUUGGGUUUAAAGGGAGCGUAGGCCGGAUGUCAAGCGUGCUGUGAAAUGUCCGGGCUCAACCCGGGCCUUGCAGCGCGAACUGGCGUGCUUGAGUGCGCGGAAAGCAGGCGGAAUGCGUGGUGUAGCGGUGAAAUGCUUAGAUAUGACGAAGAACCCCGAUUGCGAAGGCAGCUUGCUGCAGCGGAACUGACGCUGAUGCUCGAAAGCGCGGGUAUCGAACAGGAUUAGAUACCCCGGUAGUC
rnacentral:rRNA from 1 species